UGAGCAAUCUGCCCUUCACAUCGGAAUAACCAUUGGAAACGAUGGCUAAUACCGAAUAUGACUUCGGAUCGCAUGAUCUGAAGUGGAAAGCUCCGGCGGUGAAGGAUGAGCUCGCGGCCUAUCAGCUUGUUGGUGAGGUAAUAGCUCACAAGGCGACGACGGGUAGCCGGCCUGAGGAGGGUGACCGGCCACACGUGGGACUGGAGGCACCGGCCCAGACCUCCG
rnacentral:rRNA from 1 species